GCGGGUGUAGCUCAGUGGUAGAGCUCCUGCCUUCCAAGCAGGCUGUCGCGGGUUCAAAUCCCGUCGCCCGCU
rnacentral:tRNA from 1 species